CUAACCUAAAAUGCCUAAGGGGGAUCUAAUUGAAAAAAGAUUUGAAGCGCCGCUUCAGCAUAGAAAAGACCCCCCUCCCUGAUUUCUGAUCUCCUUGGAACCACCCAUUCGUUCUGCUUCUUCUUCUCCAAUUGGAAACCAGCAAAAAACCUUAUCCCUUCCCUCCAUGGCUAAGACUUACACACACUAUCAUCUCUGGACCAAAUCAGAACCGGAGGAAUAAAACGAAAAACAGAGGAGGACGGGAAGACAUAGCAGAAUCGGUAGGGGAGAUUAAAACACUCAAUUGCUUCAUUCAUUGACGAGCACAUAGAGAAAUUCACAUUCACAAGCUCGUCUUCAUCGUGUGAUUUCAACAACACUGUGACUCCUCACCCUUUUCUGGUUUAGUUGAGUGUUCUUUUCGAUUCACAGUCGAGGUUGAGGUUGAUUCUGUUUGGGUGAGGUUCCCGGUCAGGGUCGUCGAGUUCCAGUCGAAGCGCCGGUUCUCAAUUUUGCUAUUACGCCGAUGCCAUGUUGCUGUAAACAACUUUGUUGUAAGACUUGAAAGUGGACAAGCUCAAAUAAAGUUUUCUCAUACAGGUGUGCAUCUACUUACCGAAGUUUGAGCAUGACAGUUAUUGACCAUUGCAUUCAGGAGCUGCCUGAGGAGCCUUUUUAUGUUUUUGAGUCUAUUGUCCAUGUUACUUACUUGUCCUGUAUAGUAGUAUUCAGUCAUUUAGUUGAUGUUAGAGUCUGUCAUAGUCCAGUUAAGUUUGUCGAGUCUUUUGUUAUUGUUUUUUAUUUUGUAUUUGAAAAAUGUAUUAUAAAUCAAAAAUCCAAAAAAGA